rnacentral:snRNA from 1 species
GUGCUCGCUUCAGCAGCACAUAUACUAAAAUUGGGACGAUACAGAGAUUAGCAUGGCCCCUGCACAAGGAUGACAUGCAAAUUCAUGAAGCAUUCCAUAUUAAA